GAUGGGCUGCAGCUGUGGCCAGUGAAGAUAACUGGGAUAAAAGGGGGUGGUUGGCUGGUCAGGGAGAGUCUUGGAGGAGCCCUGAUGGAGAAGCAGGAACUGGACUACUGUGAGGAGCUGUGUGUGAGGAAACCACCCAGAAGGAGGAAGCAACAGUCAGAGGGAAGAGUGUGGCACCAGUUUCUGGCCGAUUUGGUGACCCUACAAGCUCCGUAUGUGGGAGAAAGGACAUUUCCAUGGAGACCUCCCAUCCUGCUGCCCACACCAAGGGAGUCACAACCACCCUGGAGAAACCAAAGGCGCUCAGGGGACAACCAGGACAACGCAAUCACCGUGGCACCAGCAGAAAAAGGACUUUGGGGGAUGCAUUUUUUGUCCCAUGGAGGCAGGAGCGUCUUUGCUGCAUGGGUGGUUCCCAGCCAGGUUUUGGUGGGGGCUGCCCGGCAGCACGCUCGGCUGCCAGAGAACUAUUCGUGGCUUUGGCUCCCUGUCAACAACCCAAGAUAAAAAUCGCGCUGGGCAGAGACAGGAUAAAGUCACUCAGUGCCACGACCCGUCAGAAAUCCUUUUGGGGCCUUUAUAACCCUCUAAGCCCCGGGAUGUGGCUGUGCUUUGGGGAACGGAGAGUUUUGGGGUCUCUCCCUUUGCAUGGAGCCCCCCAAACUAUCAGCCACCUGUUGUUUGAGGGAAAACAAGAGUAAUUUGGUAGUAAUGAUACGGCCCAAAUUUGGCAGCAAUGACCAUCCCCCAGUGCUGGUGGCCCCCAGAGCUGGGUUUGCUGCUCCUCACCUCGUGCACAGGAAGGCAGCGGGUUGCCAAGUGGCUUUUGCAAUAAACUGAUAAGCAAACUGGAACAGAAAGAGAAAUGGGAUGUUUUGCCCCAAAAGUUGUUCCUGCAGCGGUGUCAGCCAGUGCCCAGCUCAGGGAAGACGGGUGUUUGGGGUGUUAGGAGCUGCUAGAAGGAGUCAAACAGUUUGAAAUGAGAGUGUCACCAUUGCAGUGUAAAUUAAAACACUCCCAGAGAAAUUACAUAGGGAGCCCAGCAUGCAAAGAGGUGGAAAAACACGGAGCAAAGCAGGGAGUCAGCUCCAUGGUUUAACCUGAGCUGCAGGAAAUCACGGACAAACAGCCAGAGAACUCCCCGGGGAAGGGAGAAACUCAGCAGCAAAGACAUUAUUGUGAAUUAAUGCAUAAAAAACCCAACAAUUCAGGCGAAGAGGAGCAGGAGGUUUCCCUGCAUGCCCGUUCGUGCCAGCACCCGCCCAGGCCAGCGUCUCCCUGCCGGCUGCGGGUCCCACUGCCCCAUUUGGGGCACUUUGGGGCUUUUUUAGUGGCACUCCGGGCAGAACCUGGGGGUGACAGGAGGAGAGCCGGGGUUGGGCUCGGUCCAUGCCGUGCCCCACGCCCUGCGCUGGGUGCGCUGUGUCACCCAGACAGCAACAAGUGCCACCGCCACCUCCGUGAGUGCCCGAGGGAAGCAGUGGCCAGGUCCAGACCAACUUUCCUCCUUCAUCUGGGUGAGAAACUUUGAGAUUUUGGGGCUGGGGGAGCAGGCACAGCCCCAGGGGAUGACGUGCAGGUGGCCCAGCUGUUUUCCACCACCACGAGCCCCAGUGCUCCCCCGAGCAUUCCCCAUCUGUGUCCCUGGGUGACAGCCAGGUCCUCCUUCCCCUGCUGGAUUAAUUCCAUCUGGGGGUCCUUGGGCCCCCUGGCUGUGCUGGGAGGGCACAAAGCCCCUGAUGAGGAGGGGAAGGACACCAAUGGCAUCUAUUACUCAGCAGCAGAAGGUGGCAGCUGGCUCAGGAGGCUUUGAGAGGAUAUGAACUCCUGGCAUGGACACAGCGCUGCUGCAGAGCUUUUGCUCACGGACCUCCAUGCCAGAAAAGAGCAAAAAAAAAAAAAUUCCUGUUUCCUUCUUCUGAUGUAAUUUGUUUGAGGAGGGAAAACAAUACAUCACAUCGCAGCUAUUUGGGGCUGAUAAGGGAGGAAGGACAGGCUUGCUGCCUGCCCAGAGGGAGGGACAUGCCUGAGUGAGGCUCAGCCGGGUGCCCUGGCUGCUGAGCCCUGCCCAGCCCAUCCCUCCCGGGUUUGGAAACGCUUCCUGGGCAAAGGCUGGGCUCACCCAGCCACAGCACCUUGGUUUCGCCCUCCAAAUCCUUCCCCUGCCAGGGAUGGAUGAUGCCCAGGGGUGGUGGACGAUGCCCAGAGGGGAUGGACGAUGCCCAGAGGGGAUGGACGAUGCCCAGGGGUGAUGGACGAUGCCCAGAGGGGAUGGACGAUGCCCAGGGAGCUGUUGCUGUCCGUGCAGGAGCUGUGACCCGUGGGAUGAUGCUGCUGCUCUCAGCAUCCCUUGCCUGGCACCAUCUCCCCCAGCCUGCUCCUCCAAGGUCUGAGCACCUGCAGCUCUUCCUCUGCAGGAUGGAGCCAAACAGCUCAAAAACAAGAGGCAGGCUCAUCUGCAGGGGUGAUUACUGAUGGCCAGGCUGGCUGCGAGGGCUGCUUGAGGAGAUGUUUCUCUAAAAGCUUCUUUGGAGCAGGGAGGUGUCCCCUGGAGAGCCCUCUUCCCAUCAGACCUUUCCCCAGCCUGGUUGAAGUCCCAGCAGGCAGGAGCUUCCCAGCUUCACUGCCCACUGCAAGGAAAAUCCUCUCCUUUCCCUUUUUUACUUUUUCUCCUCUCGUUUGGGCGUGAGGGAGAUGGAAGGAGGGCAUCAACCCUAACCCACCUUACUCAUUUCUGUCCUAUCACCCAGGGCACCCAAAACCAGAGCCUCCCCUGCCCCAAAUCUCCCUUUCCCAGCUCCACAGCAGCCCAAGGAGGAGGCAGAUGUUUUAAAUCCUGUUGAAAAGCCACUGGUUUGUGCAGCUGCAUGCAGAAGACAGAGGCAAUACGCGGCGAGCCGACCUGGAAAGCAGCCCCACGUUUCCCUUUGCAGCUUCAUUUUUCAACCCUUUUGGCAGCCCAGCAGGUUUCUAAGACACUUUCAAAACAUUCCCAUGUUGACUAGCAGGCAGGAAUGUGCUACAGGAAUGGGUGGACCGGGGAGGUCAGGCUGGCCACAGCAGAGCCUGCACUGCACCCAUGGGUGCAGCUCAAACACACAGAGACACCGGCGGGAGUGCUGGCAUGUGUCAAAUCUCCUUCUUUUCUGUGCUUUAUUUUGUUUUUAAAGCCUUAGGUGCAGCAAGCAAGGCAGUUGGGGUGUGUUGGGCUGAGCCUGCAGCCCUGCCCUGUGUGACUGGGCUGGCAGGAGGGACAUCCAUGGGAGCUGAUGUGACCUUGCAGCUUCCCAGGGUGCCUGGAUUGUCCCUCCAGGAUGUUCCUACUCAGGACCACCAAUUUUAUAGGGGCAGCAAAGGCCCAGGCAGCUGGGGGAGGAACCUUUGCUGUGUGGGGCUGGUGCUCCGUGAGGAACAGGGAAUUGGGGGAGCCCUGAGGCGCAAGGGGCUCUCUGGGGCCAGCAGCCGCAGGCAGAGAGCCUUGAGCACAUUGCUCAGUGCAGGGAGGGCUUUGCUCUGUGGCUGUGCCCAUCUGGGUGGGGACUUUCUCUUCUCCACCGGCGGUUGGGGCUUUUUAUUUCAGCCCAGCUUUCGUUUCCUCCCCACCGAGCGCAUGUGGUGCCUCUCCCCUCCUCCUCCUCCUCCUCCCCAUCAGGAAGGUGAUGGAGCUGCCACUCACUUUUCCUCCCAGCUCCUGCACAACCCAGGUUUUUGGAGGGGUUUUCAGGCUCCAAGUGCAUUUUCCCCCAUCAAGAUGAUGCUUGCAAAGAGGCAAGGCAUUAGGAGCUGCCUGCCAGGCCCUAAACACAAGCAUCCUGUUGUGGCCAGAAGUGUUUGUGCUUUUAGGAAGACCAUAAAUAAAUAAAGCACCUCACACCAGGGCAGGUGUGUUAAAAUUAAAAUUAACCCAUAGGCUGGGGCUGGGUGUGCUGUGGGUUCCCAGGUUUGGUUCUGCUCUGCAGCCUGUACAGGGGGUGUCACAAAAAAGACACAAAACUCAACAAGGACAGCUGUGGCAGGGUCACCUCUGCUUUUGCUGGCCUCAUUGAUGGCUUUCUUAGGAGCAGAGAUGCUGAGUUUUCUGCCAGAUUUCAUGACACUUCCUCUUCCCCUGGGACUGCCUUGAAAAUAGUAAAUAAGGCAGAUUUAAAAAAAAAAAAAAAAAGGCAAACAAACCCAUUCAAGGUCUCAUUCAAGAGGGUUUGAGCAAGCUGAAGCAGCAGGAGCUGCUGGAAGAGGUGUCCUGGAGGACAGAACUUGCUGCUGGGGGAGGUUUUGCAGUGAUUCUGGCAUUCAAUAACACAAGUAAACAAAUUUCCUCAAAUCAAAUCCUCCCAAAACCAGCAGCAUCCACAUAAUGGUCCUGGCCUAAAAUAGUGCUGGGGGUUCCCAAAGAAGGCUCCUUUCUCCUCCUUUCUCUAUUUGCAGAGCUGCUGGGGAGCUGUGCAGGGGUGGCCCCAGCUGUGCCCGGACCCCUGGCAGCAGCUUGGGAUUCAAUGGGCAUGGGCAGCUGGAUUUGGGGUCCAAUCACCCCCAAAUUUUGUGGGGUUACAGCUUGGCUGACCCACCAGCAGCUCAGCCUGGGGUCAAACCCAUGAUGGGUUAACUCCAGCUGCAGAUUGCUUCAAGGGAUGGAGUGGCAGGGCCCCCAUGGCAUCCCAUGGCUCCCAUUUUCCACCUGAUCCUCAUGGCAUCCACAGCAAAGAAAAGCCCCAGAGGGUUCAGGAGCAAGUUCCCAUUGGUGCUGGAGAAAAACCCAUCUCCCAGUAGUUCUGUGGGCUGUUAUUUUUGCUCCCAGCUCCCAGCAGUGAGACCAGCACAGGGUCCCACCCUGGAGCCUCUUUGUUUAAAAAAAAAAACAAAACACAAACUUGUCCUCACUACGGGACUUUUGACAUCACUUCCUUCCCCUUCUGCUCCAAAGAACCUUUGUGUCCUCGGGGAGAUUCCCUCAGAGACACCCCAGGGAUGGCCCUGGGCCCCAGAAAGCCUCAGCGCCACACAAGGGGGGUGAUCCUUAGAUCCCUAUCCAGCUCAGCCCCAUGAGGCCAGUCCUGCCUGGAGCCCCCUGGAUGUCCAUCUAAAUUAAAUUCACAUCAAUUUUAUUCAAAAUUCACUUCAAAUGGGUGAAAGAAUCACACCAAGUGUCUCCUCAGAGCCCAGACUGAUCAUGUGGGGAUUGGAGGGAUGGGUGGGGAUGGAGAGGGCACCAUCACACCGUCCCAAUGUCUCUGGGUCGCCCAUCCUGCUUUUUGCCUUUUGGGAGAAGGUUGGUGACAUCCUCCUAUGGUCAGCCCAUCCUUUAGCAGCUUCCCCAUGGAUACAAACCCUGUUGGAAGAAAAACAGCAUUAGAUCUGCUUUGACUGUCAAUACAAAUAAUGGAAUCAUAGAGGCUGGAAAAGACCUUAAAGAUCAUCAGGUGCCACCAUUCCCCCAGCACUGCCAAGGCCACCACUGACCCAUGUCCCCAGGUGCCACAUCCACACGGCUUUAAAUCCCUCCAGGGAUGGGAAUUCCAGCACUGCCUUGGGCAGGAAAACCUCCCUGCACGGGAUGGAUGCAAUUCAUCUUCUCUGUUUUAAAAUCCCCUCCAUCAUCAU